GGGCGCGUAGUUUAAUGGUAAAACACCUACACCAAGCCACCCACCUGAGCGCUUCGGGAUACCCAUUGUCGCAAUAUGUUGUCGGAGGAUUUCAUUCUCUGACCGGUGGUCUCGUGUGGGAGAUGUGCGUUCGAUUCGCACCGUGUCCA